CAUCAGUUUCACUCAGGGGUGAAUGGUCCUACUAUAGCAAGAGGCAGAUUCAAGGUAUUGUCCAAUUUACAGACACAGGCCAGUCAUUUUCAAAAAGUUAAAAUUUAGUUUUUGAACUGGGAUGAUUAAACGCCAACAUUUCAUUUUAUUUCACUUAUCCUGUACUCAAGGUGGUGGCUAAGAAAGGUGUAGAGCACAGGUAAGUCAGGCAAUAAGCAAAGCAAGCUUUCCAGCAGAACAAGCACUGUCCCACUGUCUCCACCCUGAAGGGCUGCUCAAGCAGCAGGAUCUUCCCACUGAGAGAAGCAGAGGAGAAACAGUGUGUCUGGUGCUUCAAGGCCUGGUGCACGGUGAUGACUGCCACACGGCAGGAAAGUGGAUGAGCCAGCCAGCAAGGUAAUACAUGCUCAGCCUACUAAUAUUUGUGGAUAAAAUGAAAAGAGCAGCUGUGACAGGAAAACUAAAGACAACGAACACAUCAGAGAAAAGACACCUAAGGAUGCAAAGUCUUAAGGAAUCCUAAAUACAGGACAACAAGAAGUUAGAAAUGAAAACACCUGACUGUUUUUACCAUCUUAAACUACAGAAAAACACUGCCACCUUUGCAGAUACAACACAUGAGCCUGCAAGAUGAAGGCUGUUCUGUGGCUCACGUGUGGAUGUGAAGGAACAAAGACUACCCAAGCUCACCUGCAUGGAAACUGUGAAACUGCCUGGAAAAUUUGGGGAGUACUGAGCUGAGCAUUUAUCAUGAAGACUGCCACCGAUUCUGAGUAGAAAUGAAGAAUGAGUUUCUAUUCAAACUUAAGUGAAGAGAAAUAAUUCUGCAACCUCAGAAGUUUAUAGAGCAAUAUGGAGAAGCACAGAAAGGAGACAAAUAGUUCAAAGUACAAUAGAACGGUGAAAAGUACUUUUUUUUUUAUUUAUAAUGCGUUUUCUUCUGUUGCCUGUGCUCAUCCUUUUGUGUUCAGCUUAAGACAGUUGUUCAAACAAACUUCUUUAACAUUUUGUGGGCAAACACAAAAAAUCAAUAGAUUUUUAUGUCUCCACAUGCACAUGGUUUUGUUCAAUUUAUUCAAGCACUCACCCUCUCAGAAAGUAAGAACAAUUUUGUCCAGCAAGCAAGAACUACAAACAGGUUCCAAGUGAUUAAGGGAUGGCUUUGAAGAACCUUUUUCUGGUGAAAACUUGUCAGCAGAAGCUGUGUUUGUUGGAUUCUUGACCGCAGGAUAUUUCUUCCUUGAGCCACAUGAAGUAGGAUGAAGGGCAGAGGAGACAGUGAUUUGGGAUAAACCCAGAGGACUGGGACUGCAGUUCCAGCCCAAAACCUAACUUGAAGGAGGGGAUAUGAGUCUGAUAAGGAACAGGAGGACAAAUCUUUCUUUCUUCUUAUAUGUGCCCAGAUCUGGAAUUUAGAAAGACCAAUAAAGGCAAGCAGUAG